UCCUACGGGGGGCAGCAGUGGGGAAUAUUGGGCAAUGGGCGCAAGCCUGACCCAGCAACGCCGCGUGAAGGAAGAAGGCUUUCGGGUUGUAAACUUCUUUUGUCAGGGAGCAAUUGGGUCCACGCGUGGGCUUAGCGAGAGUACCUGAAGAAAAAGCAUCGGCUAACUCCGUGCCAGCAGCCGCGGUAAUACGGAGGAUGCGAGCGUUAUCCGGAUUUAUUGGGUUUAAAGGGUGCGUAGGCGGAAUAUCAAGUCAGCGGUAAAAAUUCGGGGCUCAACCCCGUCGUGCCGUUGAAACUGAUGUU
rnacentral:rRNA from 1 species